CUCCUCCCAAACACCCCUUACUAAUUAUUACUAAAUUAAUCUAACCCUAAACAAAAAUUCUAACUAAAUCUAAUAAUUUUAACUACCCCUGAAACAACUACAUUCUAAAUACCUAUACAUAACAUAACCCUAGCAUUGCAAAUAAUAUUUAUCUAAAAUUAAUCUACAUAAAUCAACAAACUAAUCUAAACUGACUAAGGUACAUCUUUUUAUGUCUCAAAUCCACUAGACUAACUAAAAACUAUAUUUUUUUAUGUCUCCAACGAACUAAACUAACUAAACUAACUACUAGAUCUAUCUACUACGAGCUAAUCUAAACUAGAGGAUUAGAAAAAAAUACCUCGAACGAAGCGAGGAACGGGGCUUCAAUCUCCCCUCCCCUCCUCCCUCCCUCCCUUUCUUUCCCUUCUCCUUACUCCCUUCCUUCUUCUCUCCCUCCCUCCCUUCCUCUUCUCUCGCACGAGCUUUCUCUCCUGCUUUUGGGCGCGGGGGGCGGGGGUAGGGACCAAAUGAGUGGGCCUACGCUCGGGGGUGGCCGGGCCGUGCGUUUUAAAUGCUGGGGAGCUACCGCCGUUUGAACUGGUGGUAGCUUUUCCCGCUUCCGCUAGUUCAAAUGACGGGGCUUGCUACCGUCGUCUCGAACGGCAGAACAGCCUCGUCCCCCACACCGCUAGAAUCUAUGUGCGGCCUGCCGGAUGGGAGGGUGGUAAGCGGAAUUCCGCGCUAAUGUGGCAGGUACGGGGAGCUACCGCCGUUUCACCCGGCGGUAGCUCCUCUUACCGCUAGUUGAGACGGUGUUAGCCUGUUACCACUAUUUCAAGCGGCGGCAUAGGUUUAUUUUUACAAUUUUUUCGUUCUACUAUUU
rnacentral:lncRNA from 1 species